GCAGUGUUUACAACGGUCAGUUACAGCUCUGCAUAUGUAUAUUUACUCUGUGAUUCAACCGUCACUUGUAACGCCGUCACCUGACGAUCGCACUCAGCGUGAAACUCAGAGUUGUAUUAUUAAUAUAUGCCUCCUUGCAUUGCGAUCUAAAAUUUAUAACAAAAAUAAUAAAAUAAUUAUUGACAAUAAUAUAAACAAUUACAUUUAAACAGAUUAUUACAAUAAUAUACAUUUAGUAAGUUAGUCAAUUGGAAGUUACAAUUAUAAAUGUCUCCGCCUGGCAGCCACUGGGUUUGAUAUAAUUAUUGACAAUUGAAUAUAAACAAUUACAUUUAAACAGAUUAUUACAAUUUUAUACAUUUUGUAAGUUAGUCAAUUGGAAGUUAGAAUUAUAACUAUAAU